AUAGUCAAAAUAAACGGAGAGAAGAAACUGGAUAAUGGCCGACCGGAGAAUUGUGAAACCUUACUGCCGAAGCUAGAGCUGCAGCGCAAGAAAUCCCAGCACACAGCCAACUCCCACCUGCUAAUGCUUCUCUGAAUCACAGAAACCUCUGCUUACUUGAACAAUAAUUAUCGCCGUUAUUCCCUACCGUCAAGGAUAUGGAUUUAUCGUGUUUACCUGCCCUUAAUAAAGCUCCUCUUUUUUUUGCCUACUAUU
rnacentral:lncRNA from 7 species